rnacentral:rRNA from 1 species
AGUGAACGCUGGCGGUAUGCCUAACACAUGCAAGUCGAACGGCAGCACAGUAAGCGCUUUCUCUUACGGGUGGCGAGUGGCGGAUGAGUGAGGAAUACAUCGGAAUCUACUUUUUCGAGGGGGAUAACGUAGGUAAACUUACGCUAAUACCGCAUACGACCUACGGGUGAAAGCAGGGGACCUUCGGACCUUGCGCGAUUGGAUGAGCCGAUGUCGGAUUAGCUAGUUGGCGGGGUAAAGGCCCACCAAGGCGACGAUCCGUAGCUGGUCUGAGAGGAUGAUCAGCCACACUGGAACUGAGACACGGUCCAGACUCCUACGGGAGGCAGCAGUGGGGAAUAUUGGACAAUGGGCGCAAGCCUGAUCCAGCCAUACCGCGUGGGUGAAGAAGGCCUUCGGGUUGUAAAGCCCUUUUGUUGGGAAAGAAAAGCAGCAGGUUAAUACCCCGCUGUUCUGACGGUACCCAAAGAAUAAGCACCGGCUAACUUCGUG